GCUUGUAGGUGGGGUAACGGCCUACCAAGGCGACGAUGUCUAGGGGCUCUGAGAGGAGAAUCCCCCACACUGGUACUGAGACACGGACCAGACUCCUACGGGAGGCAGCAGUAAGGAAUAUUGGUCAAUGGAGGGAACUCUGAACCAGCCAUGCCGCGUGCAGGAAGACGGCCCUACGGGUUGUAAACUGCUUUUGCACGGGAAUAACCCUCAUUAUGUAUAAUGAGCUGAAUGUACCGUGAGAAUAAGGAUCGGCUAACUCCGUGCCAGCAGCCGCGGUAAUACGGAGGAUCCGAGCGUUAUCCGGAAUUAUUGGGUUUAAAGGGUGCGCAGGCGGGGAUCUAAGUCAGGGGUGAAAGACGGUGGCUCAACCAUCGCAGUGCCUUUGAUACUGGAUUUCUUGAAUGUACCUGAGGUAGGCGGAAUGUGGCAAGUAGCGGUGAAAUGCAUAGAUAUGCCACAGAACACCGAUUGCGAAGGCAGCUUACCAAAGUAUGAUUGACGCUGAGGCACGAAAGCGUGGGGAUCGAACAGGAUUAGAUACCCUGGUAGUCCACGCCCUAAACGAUGAACACUCGAUGUCGGCGAUAGACAGUCGGCGUCCAAGCGAAAGCGUUAAGUGUUCCACCUGGGGAGUACGCCCGCAAGAUUAAAACUCAAAGG
rnacentral:rRNA from 1 species